CUAACGCUCCUCUCACCCUACCUCACCUGGACUAUUGCCUACAGAAGGCGCAACCUUGCAACCCUAAACUAGUGUUGCUCUCGCCCUUCACAUCGGCGGCAAAUUCCCCCAUGGGUCUUGUACGCCCGCAUCUCCCCACCCACAAACAGAAGCGGGCCUGCCGCUAGCUGUGCUCGGGGUCACUCCCUCAGUCUGAAACCUGGGCCGCCGAGGACAGGCUGUCCGCUCCCGCCCCGCCAGAGCUUGGGCGGUGAAAAUGGCUCGACCAUGCGGUCUGCCAAGGCCGGGCGGCCUGGCGCCAUGGGUGCUGCAUAUUGC
rnacentral:telomerase_RNA from 1 species